rnacentral:misc_RNA from 1 species
AAAUAUGGAGAUACAAGUGCUCGAUUCACUUGGUACUUCACAAGAUCGCAAAGACCUCACUGACUCUAUUAAAGGACUACAAAGACAAAUAGAUAUGAUAUCUCAACGUAAGGAGUUAAAAGACCACAGGUGGCCAGACCUCCAAGUUGCUUCUUGGCCGCUCAGAGAAAUAAACAUGGGAUAUGCAAAGCAGACAGAUAGCUCUUCAUGUGGCCUCUUUCUUUUGAACUAUAUCGAAUACUGGACAGGAGAUGAACUGUCUGACAGUUUUACCCAGGAUGACAUGUCACACUUUAGGAAAAAAAUGGCUGCUAUAUUACUAUCUUCAGACCUGAAUAAGAGAAGGGGGUGUCUGUUAUACAAAAAUGAAAAAGAAGUUGACUCUGGAAGCCCAUCUGAUGUUGAGAUAUUAGAAAACCCAACAGAUUCUAAUAAGAGGAAACUACUCCACGUGCUGGAUGAUAGCGAAGUAGUGUUUGAAGAUGAGGAAGGCCCUAUUACUCAAGCAGACUUGCAAAGGUGGUUUGUUGAUGAUUGGGAUAAAAGAGCUCAUGUAAAAGUCUCUAACGAUGGUUGCACCAAUGACUUUUUAAUGGUUGGUCUUUCCACAAAGGACAUGCCAGUGACCAAAGCCGAUUCAAUAGAUGUUUUAUGUGAUUAUAUCAUGGCAAUAGAAGACGAUACGACACUAGAGAGAACAUGGGUGCAAAGUUUCAAUCCUUUUAAGAUAGAAAUAUCUGUCAAAGACCUGCAAAACAUAUUAACGACAACUCAAGAUAUGAUUCUAAGAUGUUUUGAUAUGGCUGUUCGGCUGCUUGCCAAUAAAGAGUCACGUAGACCGAAAGAAGAAAUCAUAAAUAAUAGAAAGCAUUAUAUGGACAUGCGUUUUUGGAGAAUGGUUGGUUUUGGUAAACUUCCAAAGUAUCAUCAGGAUCCUACAACAGAAGAGUUAGCCAAAACACUCGAUUGUUGGCCAUCAAUGAAUUAUUAUAUCACGGGUUGUAGAUAUGUUCUCAUGCCAUGGAAAUUCAAUGGAUGUUACGCCCUUUUCGUAAUAGAUCAUGUUAAAAAGCAUGUGACUUUUAUUGAUUUUACACCGACUCAAGAUUGGUGUAAACACAUGCCAUACAAGAGGUUCGCGGAAGCGAUUAUCAUGGCCUCAAAAAAAUAUAAGAUUGCUUACAGCAAGAAACGUUCUGCAUGGGCGGAGGAUAUCUUUAAGUGGGAACAUACAAUUCAGACUGGUGUUCCAAUUGACUUAAGAGGGUUUAAUACCAGCUACCUCGUUCUACAAGCUAUGGCCAUGUGGGGGAAUGACAGACGACUGAAAUUUGUUGGGGAUGCAAAGACUCUUCGAAGGAACUUUGUGAUUGAUCUGUUAAGUUAUGAGGAUAAUUCGUGCCGAUAUGCCAUCCCUGCAAACAUACAACAGAGACUCAUCGAUAUCGCUAAAAAGGAUUAGCUGAUUAGUUGUCGACAUAUUUGUCUGUAAUUAAAAAUUCUAAAUUAACUUUUUAGAAUUAAUUUGUGUGAUAUUGAUAAUGUUUUCCACGUAUAUUUUGCAUAUUAUAGUGAUUUUUGUCGUUCCGUAUCAAUGUUUCAUACAAAUUUUUUACUUCCAUCGCAACGCACGAGCACAUAUCUAUACUAUAUAUUGUUAACAAGGGCCAAGUAAGUUCUGCGCCAAGCAUUUAAAUUUCACUUCAAUUACUUCAUAAUCUUUUAUCUGGUGCAUGAUAAUAAAACUAUUUAAUUUUUAACAAUUUGUUGUAGGCAUUGCUUAUGGAUUGUGG